CAGCUAUAUCACAUUGAAACACUAAUUCCCAUAAGAUCAGCAAAUUUAAGCCAUGUCAAGCUUGGUCAGUACUUAGAUGGGUGACCACUUGAAAAUACCAGGUGGUGUAAG